GUAGUCCACGCCGUAAACGAUGUCGACUUGGAGGUUGUGCCCUUGAGGCGUGGCUUCCGGAGCUAACGCGUUAAGUCGACCGCCUGGGGAGUACGGCCGCAAGGUUAAAACUCAAAUGAAUUGACGGGGGCCCGCACAAGCGGUGGAGCAUGUGGUUUAAUUCGAUGCAACGCGAAGAACCUUACCUACUCUUGACAUCCAGAGAACUUAGCAGAGAUGCUUUGGUGCCUUCGGGAACUCUGAGACAGGUGCUGCAUGGCUGUCGUCAGCUCGUGUUGUGAAAUGUUGGGUUAAGUCCCGCAACGAGCUCAACCCUUAUCCUUUGUUGCCAGCGGUUCGGCCGGGAACUCAAAGGAGACUGCCAGUGAUAAACUGGAGGAAGGUGGGGAUGACGUCAAGUCAUCAUGGCCCUUACGAGUAGGGCUACGCACGUGCUACAAUGGCGCAUACAAAGAGAAGCGACCUCGCGAGAGCAAGCGGACCUCAUAAAGUGCGUCGUAGUCCGGAUUGGAGUCUGCAACUCGACUCCAUGAAGUCGGAAUCGCUAGUAAUCGUAGAUCAGAAUGCUACGGUGAAUACGUUCCCGGGCCUUGUACACACCGCCCGUCACA
rnacentral:rRNA from 1 species